GGGGGCAUAGCUCAGCGGUAGAGCAUUUGACUGCAGAUCAAGAGGUCCCCGGUUCAAGUCCGGGUGCCCCCU
rnacentral:tRNA from 1 species